AAAUUGAAGAGUUUGAUCAUGGCUCAGAUUGAACGCUGGCGGCAGGCCUAACACAUGCAAGUCGAGCGGAAACGAGUUAUCAGAACCUUCGGGGAACGAUAACGGCGUCGAGCGGCGGACGGGUGAGUAAUGCCUAGGAAAUUGCCCUGAUGUGGGGGAUAACCAUUGGAAACGAUGGCUAAUACCGCAUGAUGCCUACGGGCCAAAGAGGGGGACCUUCGGGCCUCUCGCGUCAGGAUAUGCCU
rnacentral:rRNA from 1 species